UACGUAGGGGGCAAGCGUUAUCCGGAUUUACUGGGUGUAAAGGGAGCGUAGGCGGCCAUGCAAGUCAGAAGUGAAAACCCGGGGCUCAACCCUGGGAGUGCUUUUGAAACUGUGCGGCUAGAGUGUCGGAGGGGUAAGUGGAAUUCCUAGUGUAGCGGUGAAAUGCGUAGAUAUUAGGAGGAACACCAGUGGCGAAGGCGGCUUACUGGACGAUGACUGACGCUGAGGCUCGAAAGCGUGGGGAGCAAACAGG
rnacentral:rRNA from 1 species